rnacentral:snoRNA from 1 species
UUUUAUGAUGAACAAAGGCCACAUGGCCUGAAUCUAAUCCCAGCUCUUCGAAUGCCUCACUAAAACAACGCUCGAGUGCAUACUGAGAUAAACUCUUGUCCUGAUUU